AGCGCCAUGGUUCAGCUGGCCAAAGUGCCUGUCUACUAAACAGGAGAUCCUGGAUUCGACUUCCAGUGGUGCCU
rnacentral:tRNA from 1 species